rnacentral:rRNA from 1 species
CCUACGGGUGGCUGCAGUAGGGAAUAUUGGACAAUGGGCGCAAGCCUGAUCCAGCCAUCCCGCGUGAAGGAUUAAGGUCCUAUGGAUUGUAAACUUCUUUUCUCUGGGAAUAAAAACCGGUAUUUAUAUCGGCUUGAAGGUACCAGAGGAAUAAGCACCGGCUAACUCCGUGCCAGCAGCCGCGGUAAUACGGAGGGUGCAAGCGUUAUCCGGAUUCACUGGGGCUAAGGGGUCUUUAUAUGGCUUUGGAGAAAGCCCGGGGCUUAACUCCGGAACUGCCAUUGAUACUGUUUAGCUUGAAUCAGCUUGAGGUGGAUGGAAUAUGACAUGUAGCGGUGAAAUGCUUAGAUAUGUAAUAGAACACCGAUUGCGAAGGCAGUUCACUAAGGUUGUAUUGACGCUGAGGCACGAAAGCGUGGGGAUCAAACAGGAUUAGAUACCCUGGUAGUC